rnacentral:rRNA from 1 species
GAUGAACGCUAGCGGCAGGCUUAACACAUGCAAGUCGUGGGGCAGCGCGGACUUCGGUCUGGCGGCGACCGGCAAACGGGUGCGGAACACGUACGCAACCUCCCUCAGAGCGGGGAAUAGCCUCUCAAAAGAGAGAUUAAUACCCCAUAGUAUCCCGAAACCACAUGGUUUUGGGAUUAAAGCUUCGGCACUUUGAGAUGGGCGUGCGGCUGAUUAGGUAGUUGGUAGGGUAACGGCCUACCAAGCCGACGAUCAGUAGCUGAUGUGAGAGCAUGAUCAGCCACACGGGCACUGAGACACGGGGCCCCGACUCCUACGGGAGGCAGCAGUGAGGAAUAUUGGUCAAUGGAGGAAACUCUGAACCAGCCAUGCCGCGUGGAGGAUGAAGGUCCUCUGGAUUGUAAACUCCUUUUAUAAAAGAAGAAACCCCAUUUUUCUAAAUGGGUUGACGGUACUUUAUGAAUAAGCACCGGCUAACUCCGUGCCAGCAGCCGCGGUAAUUGCGACG